UACGUAGGGUGCAAGCGUUGUCCGGAAUUAUUGGGCGUAAAGAGCUCGUAGGCGGUUUGUCGCGUCUGCUGUGAAAACUCGGGGCUUAACCCCGGGCCUGCAGUGGGUACGGGCAGACUAGAGUGCGGUAGGGGAGACUGGAAUUCCUGGUGUAGCGGUGGAAUGCGCAGAUAUCAGGAGGAACACCGGUGGCGAAGGCGGGUCUCUGGGCCGUUACUGACGCUGAGGAGCGAAAGCAUGGGGAGCGAACAGG
rnacentral:rRNA from 1 species